rnacentral:misc_RNA from 1 species
AAACUGCGAUAAGUAGUGUGAAUUGCAUUUAGUGAAUCAUCGAAUCUUUGAACGCACCUUGCACUCACUGGUAUUCCGGUGAGUACGCCUGUUUCAAUAUCAUUGAAAACACACAAUCAAAACAUUUUCUUUGGUUUGAUUGGCUUUGGGUCUAUCAAAAAGUUUGGCUUGUUUCUUACAAGCCAAGCGGCCUGAAAUAUAUUGUCUGGCUAAUUGCAUCGUUGAUGAUCGCUAUUAGACUUUGGCUUUUUUAAAUGAACUGGAGGUUGAUUAACCAGUUUUAGCUUUAGUCAAAUGGUCAUUGUAAAAAAAAUCUCGAUCUUGGCUAGGUGUUUAUAGCCGAAAAUUUUUUUUUGGCUAUAACCGAAACCAAUAUAAUCACAUUUAGUUAUCGAUCUGAAAUCAGGUGGGACUACCCGCUGAACUUAAGC